GAUGAACGCUGGCGGCGUGCCUAAUACAUGCAAGUCGAGCGAACGGACGAGAAGCGUGCUUCUCUGAUGUUAGCGGCGGACGGGUGAGUAACACGUGGAUAACCGACCUAUAAGACUGGGAUAACUUCGGGAAACCGGAUCUAAUACCGGAUAAUAGUUUGAACGGCAUGGUUCAAAAGUGAAAAACGUUCUUGCUGUCACUUAGAGAUGGUUCCGCGCUGCAUUAGCUAGUUGGUAAGGUAACGGCUUACCAAGGCAACGAUGCAUAGCCGACCUGAGAGGGUGAUCGGCCACACUGGAACUGAGACACGGUCCAGACUCCUACGGGAGGCAGCAGUAGGGAAUCUUCCGCAAUGGGCGAAAGCCUGACGGAGCAACGCCGCGUGAGUGAUGAAGGUCUUCGGAUCGUAAAACUCUGUUAUUAGGGAAGAACAUAUGUGUAAGUAACUGUGCACAUCUUGACGUUACCUAAUCAGAAAGCCACGGCUAACUACGUG
rnacentral:rRNA from 1 species